GAGCACAGCCUCUAAUCCACUUGCAUCUUUUCUUAAGUAAGUGGAUUUUAAAACUUUGCAAAAGUAAAACUGCAGGUAGAAAAAGGAUUUUGAACAUACUUUGAACAUAUUCCUUGCUUGAUCUGCAAACAUGC